GGCGGUGUGGCAGAGUGGUUAAUGCGCUGUGUUUAGGUACCCUAAACCUGAUCCGCAGUGGGAAACCGCGCGAGUUCGAAUCUCGUCACCGUCA